rnacentral:ncRNA from 1 species
CAAAGGUUUGGUCCUGGCCUUUCUAUCAGCUGUGACUCGAUUUACACAUGCAAGUCUCCGCAUCCCCGUGAAGACGCCCUCAUUCCCCUUAUACUUAGGGAAAGAGGAGCUGGUAUCAGGCACAAUAUUUUUGCCCAAGACGCCUAGCCUAGCCACGCCCCCAAGGGUUUUCAGCAGUGAUUAAUCUUAAGCAAUAAGCGAAAGCUUGACUUAGUUAGAGUUCAGAGAGCCGGUCAAACUCGUGCCAGCCACCGCGGUUAAACGGGUGGCUCAAGUUGAUAGACCACGGCGUAAAGAGUGGUUAUGGAGAAUAAACUAAACUAAGGCCGAAGGGCCCCCGGGUAGUUGUAAGCUUCCGGUCGUCCGAAGUUCAAUCACGAAAGUAGCCUUAACACAUUCUACCAGACUCCACGACAGCUGGGGAACAAACUGGGAUUAGAUACCCCACUAUGCCCAGCCGUAAACCUAGAUACCGCAGAACUACAGGUAUCCGCCCGGGAACUACGAGCGACAGCUUAAAACCCAAAGGACUUGGCGGUGCUUCAGACCCCCCUAGAGGAGCCUGUUCUAUAACCGAUAAUCCUCGUUAAACCUCACUACUCCUUGUCCUCCCAGCCUAUAUACCGCCGUCGCCAGCUUACCCUGUGAAGGCACAGCAGUUAGCGAAAUGAGUACAGCUCAGCACGUCAGGUCGAGGUGUAGCGUACGGAGUAGGAAGAAAUGGGCUACAUUAUCUGAUACAGAUCAUUACGAAAAGAUCUCCUGAAACGGAACUCAGAAGGUGGAUUUAGCAGUAAGGAAGGAGCAGAGAGCCCUCCUGAAGCCGGCGCUGAAACGUGUACACAUCGCCCGUCGCUCCCCCCGAACAACACGCAGAUAAGUUCUUAACCCCACAUCAGUUAUAAGGGGGGAUAAGUCGUAACACAGUAAGUGUACCGGAAGGUGCACUUGGAACAAU